CUCUUGUGAGCUCUAAUGAGCAGAGCAGCAAGCAGCAGCUGAACGGGGCACUGGGAGAUGGACGAUGACGCACAGUGGUGACCAAAGACCUGCUGUGGCCCCGAUGGCUGCCUCAGUAGUCAAAGACCACAGUUGCUUAGAGGAGACCAUCUUCCCUGCAAGAUGUCUACAGAUAUCCCGGCUCACACUUUGGACCCAUGUGUCUCUCCAUCUUCUAGUAUAAUGAAAAGCAGAAUUCUAUGA